AGCUGCCAAGGUUCCCCUGCUAGUUGGUCCCUGGGAAUCUGCUAAACAACAAUAAUCAGAAACAAGGACAGAGACCCCAGUGCAGGAUUCUCAACUGGGGAUUGACCAGAAGAUUAGAUCCUGCAACCACUAUCUAUGUUUGCCCACAGGACUGAAGGAUGGGGAAAACUCCUCUUUGUUUAUCCCCACAGAAACUCAUGAAGACCAUCUCCCAAGCUAUGAAGUGUCACGGUCUGAAUCCCUGGAAGCCGUCCACCCCCACAUCCCUAUUGGCACGCUGGGAUGAGAAAUCCCUCAUUUCCCCAGUGGAAUCAGAGGAUCCCCCAUUGGAACCUGGACAGCCCACCUAGCCCAAACUCCUUCCUUCUGCAGGGAAAUAGACUGAGGCAUAGGCAGGUAAAGCUACUUACUCCUUAGAGGAGAGUGUCAGGCUUGCUGCACAGACUAAAUUGGCCAAACUCUGCUCCCUUUUUUAAAACAUAAAAAUUAAAACAAAGCAAUACCAUCUGACGCUGCUUCUUUUCUGCUCUAGGAGUCAAGGAGGCUGGUUCUGAGUCACUGUCCGUGACCUUUCAGGAGUCCCACCCUUUCUUAAGCCUCAAUUUUCUCCCCCAGAAAAUGGGAACCAUGGACUAAAUAAUCUCUAGCAUAAUCCCCUUCUGGAUGAAUUUUGCGAUGAAUCUAUGAGUGAUAUACCCUCCAUUCAACUCCAUGUUCAUCUCCUCGAGGACACAGAAAGGAUGAUAGUUCUUAACAUUAUUGUGAACUGGAGAUUUUAAAUGUUACUGAAUGCAAAACUUUUAUCUGGAAAAUGUUCAUAAAACCAAUAAAUAAAACAAAUGAUUUACAGAGAAUGAUUUGCCCUAUGUCAGACAAGUACUAAGUAUAUGAGGAGACAUUUGAAUCCAGGUCUCUUAGACUCUAAAAUUCACUGCUCUAACCAUUAUGCAAAGCUGCCUCGCUCAUAGUCUUUUAUCUUUUAAUUUCUUCUAGCACACAGCACAGUGAUUUGUUCUGACAAGGUUAAUUGGAUAAUUCAGUUGUAUGAAGGAAAGUCUCUAUGCCAAGCAUUUGAAGGGUCCUUGGAAGACAUCUCAUUCAACCCAUAAGUAAUCAAAAAUCCCAUCAACAACACCCCCAGUCUCAUCUCCUGAGCCUGUCCACUCCUGAAACGUUUACAAAAUUUGGUUUUUUUUAAUGUUUAGUUAAAAUCCACUUUCCUUAUUCUGAUUGUUCUCCCAUAUAUUUAAUAUAUUAUGUAUAUAUCAAUUUAUUAUGUGUUAAUAUGUAUAAUAACAUUUUAUAUUUAUCUAAAAAUAAAA